rnacentral:rRNA from 1 species
UACGAAGGGGCUAGCGUUGUUCGGAAUUACUGGGCGUAAAGCGCACGUAGGCGGACUAUUAAGUCAGGGUGAAAUCCCGGGCUCAACCCCGGAACUGCCUUUGAUACUGGUAGUCUCGAGUCCGGAAGAGGUGAGUGGAAUUCCGAGUGUAGAGGUGAAAUUCGUAGAUAUGGGAGGAACACCGGUGGCGAAGGCGGCCACCUGGACGGUACUGACGCUGAGACGCGAAAGCGUGGGGAGCGAACAGGAUUAGAACCC